rnacentral:rRNA from 1 species
UACGGAGGGUGCAAGCGUUAUCCGGAUUCACUGGGUUUAAAGGGUGCGUAGGUGGGCAGGUAAGUCAGUGGUGAAAUCUCUGGGCUUAACCCAGAAACUGCCGUUGAUACUAUCUGUCUUGAAUAUAGUGGAGGUGAGCGGAAUAUGUCAUGUAGCGGUGAAAAUGCUUAGAUAUGACAUAGAACACCCAUUGCGAAGGCAGCUCGCUACACUAUCAUUGACACUGAGGCACGAAAAGCGUGGGGGAUCAAACAGG